rnacentral:tRNA from 1 species
GGAGUGGUGCUCGAGUGGCUGAAGAGGCACGCCUGGAAAGCGUGUGUGCGCCAAAAGCGUACCGGGAGUUCGAAUCUCCCUCACUCCG